rnacentral:rRNA from 1 species
GACGAACGCUGGCGGCGUGCCUAAUACAUGCAAGUCGAACGCAUUUUCUUUCACCGUAGCUUGCUACACCGAAAGAAAAUGAGUGGCGAACGGGUGAGUAACACGUGGGUAACCUGCCCAUCAGCGGGGGAUAACACUUGGAAACAGGUGCUAAUACCGCAUAAUUCCAUUUACUGCAUGGUAGAUGGAUGAAGGGCGCUUUUGCGUCACUGAUGGAUGGACCCGCGGUGCAUUAGCUAGUUGGUGGGGUAACGGCCUACCAAGGCUGCGAUGCAUAGCCGACCUGAGAGGGUGAUCGGCCACACUGGGACUGAGACACGGCCCAGACUCCUACGGGAGGCAGCAGUAGGGAAUCUUCGGCAAUGGACGCAAGUCUGACCGAGCAACGCCGCGUGAGUGAAGAAGGUUUUCGGAUCGUAAAACUCUGUUGUUAGAAAAGAACAAGGAUGAGAGUGGAAAGUUCAUCCCUUGACGGUAUCUAACCAGAAAGCCACGGCUAACUACGUG